ACAAUCUAUCGCUGACUUUUGCGAUCAAUCAUACUGGAACCAAAUUCUUUCUUCAAAAUCAAGCUUAGGUUAUGAAUGAUCGUGCCUAAGCUACGAUCAAUCGUAUUAUAAUUUACCUAUUUCAAAUUUGGGCCCCACUUUCCUCGCCUAUAAACCCUAUUUUAUUUUUUCUUUUUAUUCUUCCCCUCUCCUCUUUAUCUUCCUUCCUUUCUUUUCUUUCUUUCCUUCUCUUCUCUCUCACCUCUUAAUCUCUAUCUCUCUUUAUUCACCCGAAGCCCCCACACAAACCCUAGCCCUCAUCUCUUAUCCCUUUGUCUAUCUCAACUGUGAGCCACCACCAUAAAAAAUCCCUCGACAGUGAGAUGUUCGACCACCGCAUCUCACGACUACGAUUUCGGUGCCAUCUCAAGCCACCGUGUCCUCUCUCUCUUCGGUGAGAUCUUGGCCUCCUCGGCCGAGCUCCUCUCACUUGCAGGCACUCUCCUCCACUCUCGGUCUGUCUAUUCUCCGGCUGUUUUACGGCCAAAGAGAACUCAUCACUGCAAACGCCAGUGGUCUCUACAACUUUUGACGACCAUUCCGCCAUCUUCAGUCAUCUUCUCCGGCUGACCGAAAAUUUUCCCGAGUCUCACCUCUCUGUUCCUUUUCUAUCUCUCUCAGAUGCAAUGGAGGAAAUCUAUCGCUAGAAAAGGAAAGAGAGUUAUCUAGCCUCCACAGCCACCUCAUUCUCUCGAGAGUGAGUCUUUUUCUUUUGAGUCUGUAGCAGCUGGAUCAUCCUUUUCUACUACAUCCUCAUCCAGUGCCUCCUCUAGCACACAUUCCAUAGAUCCACAGGCACCUAUCCAUACUUUUCUAAGAAAGGAUGGGAUCCAAAGUAUGCUUUUGAUACAAGUUUCUUUUCUCGGUCUGAGCAGACCAAGUGGGGAUAUGAUGAGAUCUUCUAUCGUGGUAUUACUUCUAAUCUGAUGCCGGUAAAUGACAAGGUGUACCCACGGUUGGUAGCUUUGUUCUUCCAGCACCUCCGUCGGGAUGAGGUUGACACCCAGAUCCUACACACUACAGAGGAUGGGCAGGAUAUUGUCAUUUCUACAGCUACCAUUGAGAUAGCUUGCAGAUGCCCCCACCUUUCUCCAACAGUCACAGAGUCAAAGUAGCCAUUGUAUCCUCUUAUCACAGAGUAUCCGUGUAGGUGCAAUUUUUCACCCCCGAACACUUAGAGAGGUAAAUUAAAGAAAAUAUACAAAAUAUGAAAGAGACACUAGACAAUUUUGGCAAUAAAGAACAAUGAUAGGAAUUCGAUGAUCUUUCUCUCUUAUUCAUGCUUUAUUUAUAAGCUUGUACAGAGAUUUACAUGGAGCUGUUAUUGGCAGUUUUCUUUUUGAACGUGGGUGUUUAUGACUUCCUUAUAAUGCGGCCCUCUCUUUUAUGGUGGGCAUUAUGGAAGUUCGAAUGUAUUGAUUCUGGGCCAUUCUUUGGUCCAUUGCUGUUGAACGGGUUCUCCCUUACUAAUUGGGCUGAAUUGGCCUUCUCUCAAGUCUUCCUUGUUGGGCCUUUGACUUUUAGGCUAUUCUGACAUAAGGCGAGUUUAAUAUUUGUUGACAUGUGGUGCAUUAUGAUUGGUGGGGAAAUUUAAUUCUUCUAUACUUUGCUGCCCAUUCCUUUUAUGAAUUGUAUUCAUGUAUGCAAUUUGUAACUAUUUUCAAGAAGUGGAGAAGUUUCUGCGGAUAUUACUGCUCAUCA